rnacentral:rRNA from 1 species
AUUGAACGCUGGCGGCAGGCUUAACACAUGCAAGUCGAGCGGGGUGAUGGCGCUUGCACUAUCACUUAGCGGCGGACGGGUGAGUAAUGCUUAGGAAUCUGCCUAUUAGUGGGGGACAACAUCUCGAAAGGGAUGCUAAUACCGCAUACGUCCUACGGGAGAAAGCAGGGGAUCACUUGUGACCUUGCGCUAAUAGAUGAGCCUAAGUCGGAUUAGCUAGUUGGUGGGGUAAAGGCCUACCAAGGCGACGAUCUGUAGCGGGUCUGAGAGGAUGAUCCGCCACAGUGGAACUGAGACCCGGCCCAGACUCCUACGGGAGGCAGCAGUGGGGAAUAUUGGACAAUGGGGGGAACCCUGAUCCAGCCAUGCCGCGUGUGUGAAGAAGGCCUUAUGGUUGUAAAGCACUUUAAGCGAGGAGGAGGCUCUUUUGGUUAAUACCCAAGAUGAGUGGACGUUACUCGCAGAAUAAGCACCGGCUAACUCUGUGCCAGCCGCCGCCGUAA